GUGUGUGUGUGUGAUGGGUGUCAGGUGUGUGUGUGUGUGCGUGUGAUGGGUGUCAGUGUGUGUGUGCAUGUGUGUGUGAUGGGUGUCAGUGUGUGUGUGUGUGUGAUGGGUGUCAGGUGUGUGUGUGUGAUGGGUGUCAGGUGUGUGUGUGCAUGUGUGUGUGAUGGGUGUCAGGUGUGUGUGUGCAUGUGCAUGUGAUGGGUGUCGGGUGUGUGUAGGUGUGUGUGUGUGUGAUGGGUGUCAGGGGUGUGUGUAGGUGUGUGUGUGUGUGAUGGGUGUCAGGGGUGUGUGUGUGUGCACCUGUGCCCGUGAUGGGCACACAGCCAGUGCAGGUGCGGAAUGCAGAAGAAACCUGCUUGGUCCGCAUCUCCUGGGCCUGACACUGAACCUGUGAACCUCCA